UAUAAAAAUUGAUAUCUACCUAAGACUUGGGUGGUACUUGUACCUUAAUAUCCCAACGAGGACACUUAAAACGGUUUCUCUAUGUCUAGGUGGCAUAGGGAUUUUUUAUUAAAUCC
rfam:Lactobacillus kunkeei strain LAko contig004, whole genome shotgun sequence.